GGGCCGAUCGUCUAGUCCGGUAGGAUACGGCAUUGGCAUUGCUGAGGUCGUGGGUUCGAAUCCCACUCGGUCCACCA
rnacentral:tRNA from 2 species